GGAGGGCAAGCCAGAUCUUGUGCAGUGCAUGUAUUGGCCACCAGAGGGCAGUGGGUAGCCAGGAAUGGUCCCUAUUAGCCCCACCCCUUCAUCCUCAUCAUGUAGUCUGUCUCUCAUAGCUUCCCUAGCACUACUAGGACGCUAGACAGAAGGCACAGCUUCUGAGGGGGGAAGACUCACCACCUCUGUCUUCUAGCAGGCCAGAUGUUAACGGUCUAUGGAAGUAUGAAAGAUACUUUCAAGGGCUUGUAGUCAUUCAUUAUUUUUCCUUUAAGGGACUGAAGCAUUGAGAAUCCUGGCAGACCAAGGUCCCUGAAGAACUUGGCUUUGAGUAAUGAGAACUCUGGAAAAGGCCCGAGGCCCAGCUUGGGGAUGUUAUGUAUACCAGCACGAGGAUGUAGGGCCAAAUGCUCAGUCUGAACGCCCCUGAGACAAGAUGAAUUCCAGCUUGGACACUUGAGGGAGUAAGGAUAAUGAAUACUCACCUCUUCUGGCCCUUCAUAAGGAAUGCAGUUUGCAAAAUGUUAAAGAGGGAGCUCCCGACAGCCUCAGAGUGGGGAAAGUCCCAGUACCAAUGCAGGGCUGUACUGAAAAGUACUUUGUAAUUCUUGAAGCUACAGAAGUGGGAGUUCUCACAGGAUUUAAGAUGGGAAUGUCAAAUGUAAAUUGCCUGAAGGGAAAGGCCGUUAUGUUUUUGUCUGCAUUUCCAAGACCUAGCUCCAAGACUGGCACACAGCAGGUGCUUUAUAAAUGCUUGGUGACCGACUGAAUGAAAAGACCUUUUCUAAGUCUCAAUUUCUUCAUUUGAAAACAACCCUACGGAAUAUAAAUAUCACCAUCCCCACUUUACAGAUGAAGAAACUGAGCUGAAUCAAAAGGACUUAACCCAGGGGGUGUCAAAGGGUCCGGGUCCCCUGGCUCAAAGCGCAGCAUUCUCUUCCCUCCCUUCCACGUCCUCUCUGAUCCAGGGACGCCAGGCAUCUUCAUUGUUUCGCCACGUCAGCCCUUCGCAGUCCUCAGUGUAGGGCCUUCCCUCUGAUGCCAUAUACAGCUGCAUACAUCUUGUUUGACCAUGGCUGCUGACAUGAGGUCUCCCCCAUUAAUCAGACUGAACUCUCUGAGGACAGAGACUCCUUUGGUCUUUCUUGUCGAACUCCAGUAUUUGGUUUGGCACACAGUAGGCACUUACUACCUUACUGUUUACUUGAGCACCCGAUGCAGACUACUGAUUAAAAAGAGGUCUUUGUAUCCUGAAGUAUCUCCAUCUAUUCGAGUAGCUCUGGAGACCCAGUUGGGGGAAUGGGGGGGGGUCCCUUCUGACUUCACAGACUCUACGGCUACUUUAACCACCCUUGGGGGGGUGGUGGCAACAUAGGCAGGAUGCCUCCCCCUCCUUCGUUAUGUAUGCUCAGAGUUUCCAGGGCCUUCAGACCUCACCUUGUACCAUCGGGAGGCCAUGGGAAGAGGAGACAACAGCUGCCACAGACCUGAUCUGAUAGCUGACGUGCAGGGGCCAAGUCUUGCUUCCCAAUGCCUUAUUUUCUGUCAUCUGCUAGAGGAAGCUUAAACUCUCUCGUGGGUCUGCGAUGCUUCCUGGGCCCCGGCUCGCCCUCCACAAGAAGCUUUGCCUGAUUCAUCCACUUUAAGUGCUGUCUUCCUCAACCAUUCUUGCACUUCUGAGAAUGUUUUCAUCUCCCAGAGAAUGAAAGCCCCUAAGGAGAUGAUUUCAGUCUGUCUUGGCACCCCUAGUAUCUCGUACCUUAUCUUGCAUUGUUUAAUAAAUGAUUAGUGAAUGGAA